AUAUAUGGAUGGGUAAAUGACAGGAUAUGUCUAGAUAUCGACUGGCUAUCUUCUACUUCCCCCUAGUGGAAGGCCCACGUAUGGUCACAACAGACGUUCUGACGCACAGAACUGCUUUAACCAUCUGCUCGCACUCUGAUAAGCAUUGACACGAAAGUUAAUUUCACAUCGUUUCCAACUUACAGCGUAUGAAGCGCUCGAUUGCAUCUGAUGCGUCCGGGAAACUGAGCAACAGCAAUUUUGAAAACUCGAGAGACAUGAUUUGGCGAAAACGUUUGUUUUUGUCACGUCACGUGAGACAGAUGGCUGGUGCCACAGGAACAUUUCUGUGAGCCUCACGGUUAGGAAGGGAAGAACCUGGUCAAAUCCAAUGGGGUCAGUUUCACAGAUUUCUCCAGGGAGGACCAGCAGGUAAUAAACUCUUUCCAGGAUGGAAGAUGGGCUGUGGCGACAGACAACAGAGCCACCUAUCUGUGAUGAAUGCAAAUGCAAAGGGAGAACCAAUGGCCAUUUGUUUUUGUAAUAAUAAUCACCUCAUCAUAAUGGAAGACGGUCUUAUACAGAUUGGUGUACAAGGCUUCUAUGAUAAGGCUAAUAUAAUGUAUGACAUAUCAUAAGCGUUGCUAGAACAAGUUCAUGUGCACAGAGAAGCAAGUAAUAUAUCUGUCUGAAAAACAGUCGUAAGAUACAUGCAGCCAAAGUUGUCAUAAUGAUACAGGUAAGAUUGCGUAUCGUUAUCCAUAAAAUCUGUGAAAAAAGAAAAUAAACAUUACUUUCUAAUAGGAUAAAUUUCCUACAGCUAAGUAACUUCAUGUUUGAAUUAAAACAAAUUACAGACUUCGCCAUUCAGGAUUGGAAUUUAACCAGCAUGACUAAGUAUAGAAAAUUCGAUUCCCUCCAGUUCCAUUUCCUUUGAUUGAAUUACGCUGCUACAUACGUCUGAGCAUCUUUUUUACGUAACGCUGUAACCGAGUCUUAUCUCUGACCCGAACGUGUCUUCAUCUUCUAAGCAGCUUCGUUACUGUGAAUAAAUCAUUUAUAAGCCUGUUCUCGACUUUUUAAAAAUGUUUUAACACUUUGUUGCACUUUCUCAUUACAUUACAUUACAUUACAGGCAUUUGGCAGACGCUUUUAUCCAGAGCGACGUACAACAAAGUGUAUAACCAUAACCAGGAACAAGUAUGUCGAAAACCCUAGAGAGAAGUACCGUUCCAAGUGCAGGGAACAACCGCUUAGUUCAACUUGGACCCUGAAGGUUAAACUGAUUAACAUUAACACAAACGAGAACAGUAACAAUGCAGUCUAUGCAAAAAUACAAGCAGUAGUUAAGACAAGUGCGUUAACUAAGUCACCUACGAAACGGCUACCUAGUUACAACCCUAAGCUUAGUCAAUUAAGAGAUUACAGGGAGGUAGGGAGGGAUGGGGAGAGGUGCAGCCUGAAGAGGUGAGUCUUCAGUCGUCGCUUGAAGUGGGUCAGUGUCUCAGCUGUUCUGACCUCCACGGGGAGGUCAUUCCACCAUCGUGGGGCCAGAACAGACAGGAGAUGUGUUCGGGAAGCGCAGGUGCGAAGAGGGGGAGGUGCCAGGCGUCCUGAGGUAACAGAACGGAGGGGUCUGGCUGGCAUGUAGGGUUUGAAGAUCUUGUGGAGGUAUGCUGGGGCUGAUCCCUUGACUGCCUGGUAUGCUAGGACCAAUGUUUUAAAUUUGAUGCGAGCUAUAACAGGCAGCCAGUGGAGGGUAGUGAGCAGGGGAGUGACGUGGGAGUGUCUGGGGAGGUUGAAGACCAGACGAGCUGUAGCAUUCUGAAUGAGUUGCAGGGGUCUGAUGGCAGAUGCCGGUAGUCCAGCCAGAAGAGAGUUGCAGUAGUCCAGGCGGGAUAGUACCAUUGCUUGGACCAGGAGCUGGGUUGAGUAGGUGGUGAGAAAGGGGCGGAUUCUCCGGAUGUUAUACAGGAAAAAUCUGCACGCCCGGCUUACUGCUGCGAUGUUCAGCAACAUUUUAGCUGUAUUUUGCGUCAUUUAUGAGACAACCUGACACAUAGCAGUUUUUUGUACUCUAAAUGACAUUAUACUAUAAUUCUAUAUUACUGGAGUUUAUUUUGGUCAAUCUAAUGUAUAGCCUACAAUGCAUUAUAAACACAGCAGUGUUUAAUCAAACGUGACAUCGUCUAUUAACUAUCAUAAAGUGCCUCCUUCGCCCACGUCCCCAAAAUUAUGCUGUGACCCCAUUUCCUCCGAAUAUGUGAGCGGGACAGAGUCUGGUAGUUAUGUGUAAUGUGUAAAGGAAGAGUUAAAAUACGCGGAGUGAUACAUCAUCGGGUUUACGCUGGACAGUGUACUAACGACAGAUCCAACUUAGUCCUAAGGAAUGGACAUUGAACCACUUAAAAUUGCAGUUUUAAUUGGUCCUCGCAAUGAAAUCGCUGGCUUUUAAUUGGUCACUAUUAUCAUAAGGCGGAAGUUGGGAAUUAUUUCAGUUUUUCUUGUGCUCCUUCCUGAUAGAGAUAAUGACGGUAGUGUACCUUAAUGUAAGUUGUUUUAUUAUGUAGCAACAAGCAAGGCAUGUUCAGUGUUCUAUUUCAUAUUUAUUUUGGAUUUGACGACUUCGUAAAGGAAACGCACGUCCAAUAUUACCAUUUGUUUUAUCCCAGUGCCUAUUCUAUCAGUAUCUUAUGCUCGUGUACGCAAAGAAAUGCCUCGACUACAGGCACCAUAGAAUAAGCGUAGCAAUUGGGACACGUUAUGAUGUUUGGUAUGUGUAAAUGUGACAGCAAUAUUAUUUUUUCGGUUACUUGGCAAUGUAAUGAGUUGGUAUUGUUGGUAUGAAUUGAUACAAGAGAGAAAUAUAUAUUAAUAUUAACAUGCAUGAAUUAUUCCUACAAUUUAUCUGCGUCAUUACGCCAGACACAGAGUUCAGCUAUGUAUAUUGCCUACUGCCUAUGGCCAUGACUGAGCUUUUGAAUUAUUCAUACACGUUUAUGAAUAUUCAUUAGUGCUUGGUCGCUCAGAUCACAGGUCACAGUCCUCUUCUGGUGCGGGGAGAAUACCAAAUGUUUUGGCCUAAUUGAAUAUUAACUUAUUCUCUAGGUGCCCAAGAGAGUAACUGGAGGCAUAUUGCAUCCUUUUCCGUUCGUUCUGUCGUCAUUUAAUUUCGACGAUUUUUCUGAACUUCAGACAUUGUUAUAUUACAGGUAAUUUGUGAUACCCCACUUAAUGGCUUCGAAAUAAAUUUGAUUCUGGUUGAUUAUG